UCCUACUAGAUGGACCUGAUAAAAGCA
rnacentral:piRNA from 1 species